UGCAGAGUAAUGAUCUUGGGGAUGG
rnacentral:piRNA from 1 species